ACAGCAUGAAGUUUUCAGCUAUGAAGAUUUCCAGAGACUCCAGAAUGAAAACCAAGAUCUUUAGGGAGGAGAACCAAGCCCAGAGGGAAGGCAAUGCACGAGCAGCUUCGGAUGACAGCGGCUCACUUCAAGAGCAGGUGAAAC